CCGCGCCCCGCGCCCGUCCCGCCGCCCCCGCCCGGGCACAAGCGGUGGAGCAUGUGGUUUAAUUCGAUGCAACGCGAAGAACCUUACCUACUCUUGACAUCCACGGAAUUCGCCAGAGAUGGCUUAGUGCCUUCGGGAACCGUGAGACAGGUGCUGCAUGGCUGUCGUCAGCUCGUGUUGUGAAAUGUUGGGUUAAGUCCCGCAACGAGCGCAACCCUUAUCCUUUGUUGCCAGCACGUAAUGGUGGGAACUCAAAGGAGACUGCCGGUGAUAAACCGGAGGAAGGUGGGGAUGACGUCAAGUCAUCAUGGCCCUUACGAGUAGGGCUACACACGUGCUACA
rnacentral:rRNA from 1 species